rnacentral:rRNA from 1 species
GAGCGAACGGGGAGGAGCCCAGAGCCUGAAUCAGCAUGUGUGUUAGUGGAAGCGUCUGGAAAGGCGCGCGAUACAGGGUGACAGCCCCGUACACAAAAGCGCAUGUGCUGUGAGCUCGAUGAGUAGGGCGGGACACGUGGUAUCCUGUCUGAAUAUGGGGGGACCAUCCUCCAAGGCUAAAUACUCCUGACUGACCGAUAGUGAACCAGUACCGUGAGGGAAAGGCGAAAAGAACCCCGGCGAGGGGAGUGAAAAAGAACCUGAAACCGUGUACGUACAAGCAGUGGGAGCCCCACCACCAAAGCAUUCUCUGGUGUUGAAGGCCCUGCAAAGCAGCAUCGCGGUGGCGGAGCGUCGUUUGCGACGCCCAACACACAAAACAAGCGGUGAAUGCUUUGGGGUGGGGUGACUGCGUACCUUUUGUAUAAUGGGUCAGCGACUUAUAUUCUGUAGCAAGGUUAACCGAAUAGGGGAGCCGGAGGGAAACCGAGUCUUAAUUGGGCGUUAAGUUGCAGGGUAUAGACCCGAAACCCGGUGAUCUAGCCAUGGGCAGGUUGAAGGUUGGGUAACACUAACUGGAGGACCGAACCGACUAAUGUUGAAAAAUUAGCGGAUGACCUGUGGCUGGGGGUGAAAGGCCAAUCAAACCGGGAGAUAGCUGGUUCUCCCCGAAAGCUAUUUAGGUAGCGCCUCGUGAA